UGCCACAGCGGCCUGAUGCAGUACAGGAACCUGUCUCUCCUCUAUGUCGGUGGAUUAAAAUGAACCAGACAGCACCAAAUCCUGGGAAAUGGUAGAAGCCAAGGCCCUGAGAUUACACUGGACCAGCUGACUCAUGGGGAAUCCUCAGGUGAUGGGAAGACAUGGGGGAGCUGUAAGUAGAUAGAAAUACAAUGAGAGUUGUAUUUUUGAGGUGAUUGUUCAGAAUUAGCAUAAACAACAGAGGCGAUGGGUUGGGACUGGGACAGUGACAACAGAGAGCUGGUAGAGAAUGUUUCUCAGAAGGCAGGAGAUGACAAGGCACCUGCUGAAAAUGUGGUCUCCCACGUUUUGUUUCUAGUUACUCAUCCAAAACUAUUCAUCUAGUUACUCCAGUGGUAACUGCAGCAUAACUUCUGCUAGGAGGAUGAUAGCAUUUUAAUCUUGAGGGUUUGGUGUUUAGAAGUUGGUAACAAAAAUGCCACCACAGAUUGGGAGAAGACAAUCAGAAACAAAAGCCCUUGAGAAGCAGAUCAACUGAUUAUCCAGUUCUUCAUAUAAACCAAGAUUAUCUUUAAAAAUUGCAAGAAAAAUAUAGUUCAUUAUUUUGAAUGUACUAUAUUAGAUAUCUUAUUCUCCAUUUCUCUUUCAAUCAUCAUUAUUUUCUUCAAAAUGCAGCUCCAGCAAUUGUGGUUAAUGCUGGUGCAGGACAGGCUUUCAUGACCAUCAAAACUACUGCCACCACCAAAAUUCAGUGGAUGCCUGCGUGAGUUGGGGUGAAAUGGCAUCUUGAACCUUUCAAAUGACAUUCAUCCCAGAUGUCAUCUCAAGGAUAUGGACUUCUCUUCCAGCCUGUUCUACAUCCGUGGAAAUCAUGUCCUCUCCUGGGUAACUAUGUCCAUGAUCUGUGUUUUAUGAAUAUGGCCACAUUCAACCUCUUUUGGCCCCUGAGCAUGUGCUGGCUUGUGGAUUGUUUUUGUUGUUUAUUUCAUCAGCACAUGGAGCAUACAGAGUUAGUAUAUAUUAUUUAACAGAAAAACACAUUAUCUGGUCCAAAGGAAGGUGAUAUGUUAUCUCUUAUAUGAGGGUAGACUCCUCCAUUCGUGAUCUAAAGUUUCUUUGGAAGGAAAGGAGAUUGUGAUUUAUAAGUAGACUUUAUCAUGGAAAGAAAAUAUAUACAAUUAAACUUUUUACAAUCAUGAAUGAAAUAAAAACUGUGAAAAUAAAUUUAUACUGGAAGUCAUGAACAAGUGCAAAUAUGAGGGAUUGCAGGGGCUUUGAAAAAUAUAAAGAUGGACAAGAGAAGUUUCUUUACACAAUGGUUAGCAAAUUUAUAGAACUUAGCAUAUUUAUAGAGCCUCACGAGUGUCAUUAAACUACAUUAUGCAAGUAGGUUUAAGUAGACUGUAUAAUAGUGUCAAGGAUGGAGAACUAUAAUAACUGUUAAGAAUGGCCACAGAUGUUUUAAGCAAUGGCAAAGUCAGGGAAUAUAAUUUUUAAGACAGUGGAAGGUAAUUACACUAAGUGCCAAUGGCAGAUGAGAUUCUUUGUGUUAAGUAUUGCAAGUUGGAUCCCAAAGCACGUUUAAUAUUUUCACAAGGAGAUUUUCACAAGGAGAGUAUGCUCUCCUUUCAGAUGUAUUACAGAAUCAUAACUUGAAAUGUAAUGAUAGAUUUGUGUGCUCAGAGAAUGCUGGGUUAUGCUUAGAAAAAAGUGAAAAGGCAUUGUUGUAAAAAGCCUUCUAAGAAAUAAUAUUUAUGAAACUGAAGAAGGCAUCAUGUGUAAGUUUUAUAGUUUUAAGCUAACAUUUAUGUCUGAUGAUUCAUUAUGAAUUAAAUUUUGCAUAUGGUAUUGAUGUAUAAUUUUUAUUUUUUGUUUUGUUUUCAUUUCCUUGCACAUGAAAACCUGUUUGUCCCAGCACCAUUUGUUGAAAGAUUAUCUUUACUCUGUUGAUUUACCUUUGCACUUUCGUGAAAACUCAGUUGUCAUAUGUGAGGAUUUGUUUUUGCUCUGUAUUUUUUACUAUUGAUCUGUCUAUGUUUAUGUCAAUACCAC
rnacentral:lncRNA from 1 species